rnacentral:rRNA from 1 species
CCACGCGGCGGCAGGCUACCAUGCUAUCGAGCGAGAAGCUACUUCGGUUAGUGGACAGCGGCGCACGGGUGAGUAACGCGUGGGAAUUUACCUUUCGGCGGGGGACAACAGUUGGAAACGACUGCUAAUACCGCAUACGCCCUACGGGGGAAAGAUUUAUCACCGAAAGAUAGGCCCGCGUUAGAUUAGGUAGUUGGUAGGGUCAAAGCCUACCAAGCCGACGAUCUAUAGCUGGUUUGAGAGAACGAUCAGCCACACUGGAACUGAGACACGGUCCAGACUCCUACGGGAGGCAGCAGUGGGGAAUCUUGCACAAUGGGCGAAAGCCUGAUGCAGCCAUGCCGCGUGAGUGAGAAGGCCUUCGGGUUGUAAAACUCUUUUAGAUGUGACGA